rnacentral:rRNA from 1 species
UACGUAGGUGGCAAGCGUUGUCCGGAAUCACUGGGCGUAAAGCGCGCGCAGGCGGCGAUCUACGUCUGGGGUGAAAGCCCGGGGCUCAACCUCGGGACUGCCUUGGAUACGGGAUCGCUUGAGAAUCGGAGAGGCAAGGGGAAUUCCACGUGUAGCGGUGAAAUGCGUAGAUAUGUGGAGGAACACCAGUGGCGAAGGCGCCUUGCUGGCCGAUUUCUGACGCUGAGGCGCGAAAGCGUGGGGAGCAAACAGGAUUAGAUACCCCCGUAGUCC